GCGGGGAUGAUGAAAUUGGUAGACAUACGGGACUUAAAAUCCCGAGCCGAAAGGCGUGCGGGUUCGAUUCCCGCUCCCCGCACCA
rnacentral:tRNA from 1 species